UACGGGGGGUGCGAGCGUUGUCCGGAAUCACUGGGCGUAAAGGGCGCGUAGGUGGCCUGAUAAGGGUGUGGUGAAAGUCCGGGGCUCAACCCCGGAUCUGCCGUGCCGACUGUUGGGCUGGAGUACUGUAGGGGCAGGCGGAAUUCCGGGUGUAGCGGUGGAAUGCGUAGAGAUCGGGAGGAACACCAGAGGCGAAGGCGGCUAGCUGGACAGUAACUGACACUCAACUACGAAAGCGUGGGGAGCAAACAGG
rnacentral:rRNA from 1 species